rnacentral:rRNA from 1 species
CCUACGGGUGGCAGCAGUGAGGAAUAUUGGUCAAUGGACGAGAGUCUGAACCAGCCAAGUAGCGUGAAGGAUUACUGCCCUAUGGGUUGUAAACUUCUUUUAUAUGGGAAUAAAAUGUUCCACGUGUGGGAUUUUGUAUGUACCAUAUGAAUAAGGAUCGGCUAACUCCGUGCCAGCAGCCGCGGUAAUACGGAGGAUCCGAGCGUUAUCCGGAUUUAUUGGGUUUAAAGGGAGCGUAGGUGGAUUGUUAAGUCAGUUGUGAAAGUUUGCGGCUCAACCGUAAAAUUGCAGUUGAAACUGGCAGUCUUGAGUACAGUAGAGGUGGGCGGAAUUCGUGGUGUAGCGGUGAAAUGCUUAGAUAUCACGAAGAACUCCGAUUGCGAAGGCAGUUCACUGGACUGCAACUGACACUGAGGCUCGAAAGUGUGGGUAUCAAACAGGAUUAGAUACCCGAGUAGUC